rnacentral:lncRNA from 1 species
CUGAGCCACAGAGCCAGACUCCAUCUCAAAAAAACAAAAAAACAAAACAAAAAAAACCAUGUCCAAGAAAGCACAACCAUGAGAGGCAGGGCAGGAUUUAUUGUUUAUUAUCAUUAUUAUUUUUUGUUUUCUUUCUGUUUAUUUGUUUUUGUUUAGGGCAGGAUUUAGAUCCAAAACCUAAGCCCUGCACACCAGAAAAUCCGACUCCUUGUGCCCCUCCCACACCUACUCAGGGCAAGAAGGCCACAGGGCCACACCCCCAGAUGCAAAAGGGAGAAGGGUGCCUUUCUCUGCUCCCACUCAGCUUCCCCUCAACCUCCAGGAAACCUGAGGGCUCUGAGUAUGGCUGUUUGUGUUGAGGACCCAAAACCCCUUUUCUGGGGCCAGGCUGUGAGUCUAAGGUGAGAUGAUAACAGGGAGUUUCUGAAGCACUGCACCCCUACUCUGGGGAGCAGGAGGCCUCCUGACCGUGACCCCAGUCUCCCACCCUGCUUGGCUGCUCACCUCCCGCCUCAGCAGCAGCGCCGCUGUGCCAGCCCUGAGCCAGAGCCAAGCCCUCCUUGGACGCGGUUGCCUGGUAACCAGCCCUAAGUGACGGCAACCCCAGCGGGCCGCUAAUGAGGGGGCAGCAGCCAACCACCUGGCCAGACCCAGCCGCCUCAGCCAGCCUUAGAAAGGCUUCCACGAUAGUCCACCUGGCCUGCCCACGGCCAGUCUUGAACUCCUGGGCUCAAGUGAUCCUCCAGCCUCUGCCUUCCAAAGUGUGGGAGGAUUUCAGGCAUGAGCUACCGUGCCCAGCCUCUGAGCUGAGUCUGAAAGGCCAACAGGAAUUAGCAAGGAAAGCCAGACAAGCAGCCAAGGCAGAUGGAGAGCAUAUUCCAAAGUGUGGAGGUGUGACCUGAAAGGAACCUUGGCUGGCUGGGGAGACAAUCGGGACAAUCAGGAGACAUGCCAAAGCCAGACUGGGGAACUGGAACCUGAGGCCACCGAGGAACCACAGGAGACUCCAAGCUAGGAGUGACCGGUUACACACAGGCAUUAGAAAGCUCUCUGUGGAGGCAGGCAGGGAAUAUUUCCUGCUGCCUCCAGCACCAAGCCUCCAAUGGCUGGGCUUUGGCACAGCCAGAGUGAGACAUCACAGUCCCCCCCUCCCUGAGUCCAAGGCCCAGCAGUCCUGUUCCUGAGGCCUCUCUCCCACUGUGGCAGACCCACCUCCACACAAGCACCCAUCUCACUGGAGGCAAUGGUCUGUUUGAAGCCUGGGAGACAGCACUGGGACCCAUCUACUGCUGUACCCUCAAUGCCAGCAUAAAACCUGGAGAUCCUCAAUAUGUGACAGAAGGAAGGAUGGGAAGGAGAGAAGGAAAAUCAGCCCACCCUAGCUGUUAAUUAAAGAAUGUUCCCCUCCUCUG